AAUGGGGGGAACCCUGAUCCAGCCAUGCCGCGUGUGUGAAGAAGGCCUUUUGGUUGUAAAGCACUUUAAGUGGGGAGGAGGCUUACCUGGUUAAUACCUGGGCUAAGUGGACGUUACCCACAGAAUAAGCACCGGCUAACUCUGUGCCAGCAGCCGCGGUAAUACAGAGGGUGCGAGCGUUAAUCGGAUUUACUGGGCGUAAAGCGCGCGUAGGUGGUUAAUUAAGUCAAAUGUGAAAUCCCCGAGCUUAACUUGGGAAUUGCAUUCGAUACUGGUUAGCUAGAGUAUGGGAGAGGAUGGUAGAAUUCCAGGUGUAGCGGUGAAAUGCGUAGAGAUCUGGAGGAAUACCGAUGGCGAAGGUAGCCAUCUGGCCUAAUACUGACACUGAGGUGCGAAAGCAUGGGGAGCAAACAGGAUUAGAUACCCUGGUAGUCCAUGCCGUAAACGAUGUCUACUAGCCGUUGGGGGAUUUGAUCCUUUAGUGGCGCAGCUAACGCGAUAAGUAGACCGCCUGG
rnacentral:rRNA from 1 species